GGUCCAUCCACGUUCCCUCUAGGCAAAGCCUGUGGCGUAGCAACAGCGCCACCACAGUUGUCGCUGGCGCCGAUCUUUGUUGUCCAUUUUCUUCUUGUGCUCAACCUCUAUCACGUCUCAGCUCAUUUUAGAAGACGCGCCGGAUCGACACGGCGUAGACAAUGCUGCGAUCCGAAGUGCUCGACGCCGAGGUGGCGAAGAGUGUGGAGGCCUAUUCGACCGCGGUGACACCGUUUGCGGAGCGGCGAAGUGGUCUGUACUUGACCAAGUUCGAAGUUGCCCGCAUUAUCGGCGAGCGCGCCAAGCAGAUCGCCAGCGGCGCCGCCAUGUCGCUUCCCGGUACCGCUUCUGGUCUGGAUUCUGUUGAGACGGCGGAGCGCUGCACCAACCCGCGUUCUCUUGCAGUAGACCCGGUCAUGAUGGCCAAGUACGACCUCUUGCAGCGGAAGAUUCGAAUGCUGGUGCGUCGCGUAUGGCCAGAUGGCGCCGUCGAAACGAUUCCUGUGAAUGAGCUCAUGGUGGACGUGACUAUGCUCGAUCUGCAGUAUUAGCCGACAGCAACCUGCUUCCAUGAAUGCUUUGUGUGUGCGUGCGUUGCGCAGAAGUGUUGUCUGCUGCCGUCUAUUGUGGUGUGAUGGCGGUUGCGUGUCUGUGUUUGGGGGGAGGGUAGCGGCGAAAGACAGAGAGGAGAAUGGCCAAAGAGGCGCACAGGCUGUCGUGUCAUGCAGCCUGCAAUCAACCUACUCCUAUCUCGCUCUCUGCAGGAUCCAUGCGAUUUGGUGCCGUCUACCCGCUCUCCUCUACCCCUGGCUCUCCGUUGGUGCUGGUGCGUAAAGUUAAUUGCCGGCUAAGGCACCGUACUCUCUCCUCUCCUUGCUUGCGUUCUCUUUUUUUUUCGCAAAUCCGGGUCCACCCCUCCACACG
rnacentral:misc_RNA from 1 species